rnacentral:rRNA from 1 species
CCUACGGGACGCAGCAGUAGGGAAUCUUCCACAAUGGGCGCAAGCCUGAUGGAGCAACGCCGCGUGUGUGAUGAAGGCUUUCGGGUCGUAAAGCACUGUUGUAUGGGAAGAACGGGUUUAAGAGGAAAUGCUUAAACAGUGACGGUACCAUACCAGAAAGGGACGGCUAAAUACGUGCCAGCAGCCGCGGUAAUACGUAUGUCCCGAGCGUUAUCCGGAUUUAUUGGGCGUAAAGCGAGCGCAGACGGUUGCUUAAGUCUGAAGUGAAAGCCCACAGCUCAACUGUGGAAUGGCCUUGGAAACUGGGCAACUUGAGUGCAGUAGAGGUAAGUGGAACUCCAUGUGUAGCAGUGGAAUGCGUAGAUAUAUGGAAGAACACCAGUGGCGAAGGCGGCUUACUGGACUGCCACUGACGUUGAGGCUCAAAAGUGUGGGUAGCAAACAGGAUUAGAUACCCGUGUAGUC